AUGUAUCUGCAUGAGGGAUGGAAAUGGCAUCCUUUUCUUUUCCUUCUUUAGGAAAAGAAAAGAUAUAAUGGACAGCCCGGCCCUUG
rnacentral:sRNA from 1 species